rnacentral:misc_RNA from 1 species
AUGUGGAAUUGAUUUCAAAUAGAGCUGAAUAGCAAAAAAGGAUUGAUAUAGCUAACCUCAAUUAGUUUAGGAUUAAGACAUUGUUGUUGUCAUUUUUAUCAAAGAGCCAGAAAUUAGAACAACACGCCAUAGAGAUUGGCAUUCAAUAAUCAUAAUUUCAACUGAUGGCACCAGUUCUUAAAACAUGAUACAGGAAUAGCAUAUGCAUUGGAACAACUCCUAUAAAGUCACUGAACCUUUAGAAACAUGCGUCACGAGCAUGAGAAAUAUAGCGUAGACUUGGUCUACCACAUGACUGUAGACUAAUCCAAUGAUAUUGUUUUACAUCAUCCACAAUUCAAGGCUAAUUACAGAUAAGUGACAAACUUAUCCAUCAAUAUAUUAACAUAGCAUGAUAUGAUUGGUGUAGUCUAUAGAUAGAUUAGGUCUACUUAAGAAUUUCUCCACAAGCACAACUAGAGUACAAGGGCAACAAAAUAGUUUAUAGGAUCAGAAAGCAAAGUUAAUGAGCUUUACAAUGAACAAGCUCAACAAAGGGCAACAUCAUGGAUUUAUUUCAUCCUUGAAUUACAAGCUGCUUCUUAAAUAGGGGUUUAACUGUUAAGCCCACCAAAACAUGCCAUGUAUCAAACUACUCAAAUCUGAGUUAUGCAACAUCCAUAGAGACCAUUAAUAUUAGAAAUUAUAAAAAAAAAAGGCCAUAACAUGCAUUGCGUAGUCAGAGACUCAAUGCAAGUCCAUUUCAAAUAUGCAAUUCAUAAGAGUCCAACUUCACUAAGUGCAGAAAAAAAACAGCACAAACACAAGAAACUAAUAAAUUUCCUCUUUGGGAGAAAUCAAAUCCAGGCACAAUAACAUUGGGUCAAGCUUAUACGCAUCAAUUUUAUUAGCAAUGAUCUAAUUCUAAUCAUACUUCUUAAAAAAGCAACUCAAGUAUUUGUUACUUGUGCCAUUCAUAUGCAGAUCGUCCAUUUGGCUAAUCCAUUUCAGUUUAACCAAGGUUUUCCUUUCACUCUUUCAAGGUUCAAAGUUCAUUCACUGAAGAAUAUUAUAUGUGGGGCUAAAUCUAUCAACAUAAAAUCAAAUUUAAAUCUAAUUUCAUCAUUUUUUUGGGGUCAAAAUGAACAGCAACUAAUAAACACCUCUCAAUUGAAUGGCAUAGAGUACUCUAGUCUAAAAUAAAUUGAAAAGAAAUCCCAGUUAACAAAGUAUAAGCAGAGAUAUAGUAAACAAUACCUAUUCUCAUCAGAAUGAGGGUGUAUAGAUAGGAACUUUCCCGGUACAGUUAAAGCAGCCCACAUACACAAAACUAACCCCACGAGCAACUCGACCACCACCUGCAAUCCAACCAAACAAAAAGUAAAAAAAGAAAAAAGGCCACAAACCUAUCAACUGAAACAAAUAAAAAUAAUCAAGCACAUGCAUAACAGGGAAGAAAGGGGAAAAAAAAAUCUCACGUUCAUUGGAGGUCCUGAAAACUCCUCCUCCAUAAUCUUCAACAAACCUCUAUAUUGAAUGGUUGAAUAAGCUGCAUGAGCCAGAAUCAGUACUCCAAAAGCGCCAAUUGCAAAGCCUAAACCCAUUUUAUUAACUUCGCUGAAUAUCCGAUCACCGGCUAACCUGAGUUCCGGGAUCGGGCUCUACACAGCUGUUAGGGGCGGAAGUCCCAAGAAGCAGAGACUUUCAGAUUUAUGUUGUCAAAUCAAAUCUGUCUCACUAAAGCC